rnacentral:rRNA from 1 species
AUUGAACGCUGGCGGCAGGCCUAACACAUGCAAGUCGAGCGGAUGAAGGGAGCUUGCUCCUGGAUUCAGCGGCAGACGGGUGAGUAAUGCCUAGGAAUCUGCCUGGUAGUGGGGGAUAACGUCCGGAAACGGGCGCUAAUACCGCAUACGUCCUGAGGGAGAAAGUGGGGGAUCUUCGGACCUCACGCUAUCAGAUGAGCCUAGGUCGGAUUAGCUAGUUGGUGGGGUAAAGGCCUACCAAGGCGACGAUCCGUAACUGGUCUGAGAGGAUGAUCAGUCACACUGGAACUGAGACACGGUCCAGACUCCUACGGGAGGCAGCAGUGGGGAAUAUUGGACAAUGGGCGAAAGCCUGAUCCAGCCAUGCCGUGUGUGUGAAGAAGGUCUUCGGAUUGUAAAGCACUUUAAGUUGGGAGGAAGGGCAGUAAGUUAAUACCUUGCUGUUUUGACGUUACCAACAGAAUAAGCACCGGCUAACUUCGUG